CCUGGCCACUUGCCCACGCCACACGCCCGUAGGCUCCGGUCAGGGUCAGCUCCCGCUGGGCGCCCUUCAGCCAGCAGGCAGGACCCCGUGGCCCAGGCUGCUCUUGCCGUGAGGCCUGGCGCCCAGGUGGUCCCGUGGAGACCUGUGGAGGCAGAGGGCACCCAGGCCUCUGAGCGCCUCGGCCUCCCCGCAGAUGCCCGCGCCUCUGGUCGGCGAGCUCCUCGCCAGCCGUCCCAGCCUCUCCCUGCAGCGCCGCCUGUCCUGCCGGGGCCUGGCCGCUCCCUACGGGCCCUGGGGAAGGAGGAAGCUUCCCUGUAGCCUCCGGUCAGCUGGCGGGGACCUGUGGCCUCUGGGCCACCACUGCCCGCAGGCGGGGGCUGCUCUGGAAGGCAGCCUUCCCAGCAGCACCCUGUGGCCUUCAGGGUCCUGGGAACACCGAGUGCCCUUCUUGAGUUGGGGCUGGUGAGGGGGACCCCUGGGACCACCAUCCUGCCGGCCACCCUCCCAGGUCCACACGGUCUUCCAGGGCUCACAGGGCAGGGGGGCAGAGCCACGAUGGCUUGGCGUUGCCGUGUCCCCAGCGAACGCUAGACCCGAGGGACACCCCGCUCCACCUGUCCCUGCCACAGUGUCCCAGUUCAGUAAGUGGCACUUCCUUCCACCCAGUGGCUCGGGACAAACCCCAGAGUCAAGCGUCCCCCGCCCACUGCCCACCCAUCACCGCGCCCUGCAGCUCCAGAGCCAGCACGCGCCCGCCAAGCCACCACGCCGUGGGACUCUGCAGGUCUGUCCUGGUUCUGCCUGCCACCCAGCGGCCUCCUCCUGGUCCCCAGGGUCACCAGGAAUGGCCCCCUGCCGGCUCCACCCAGCCCUGGCCUCAGAAGGGACCGGGCUGCCCCUCCACGUCCCCGUGUGGCCCAGAGCGGGGAGGGCUGCGGGCCAGGCUCCCUGGAGCAGACCCUGAGGACACUGUGGGGCCCUCCCCCCUGGACACAGCUGACCCACGUCCUUGAGGUUCCCGACCUGGCUGCAGGCAGAAGCCUCACGCCCCGCGGUACCUUGGGACCCCCUUUUGGAUUUCACUCCCACGAGGUGCUAAGGACAUGGGGACUCCAGAUUUGGGGUGUCCUCUCCCAAGUUUACGUGACUGACGGGGAGGAUUGAAGCCACCGUAGAGCGCGUGCUCCUGAGCGGCCCCGGUCCCUGGACCCCCGCAGAGGAAGGGGCCUGGCGGGGUGGGCUCCCGCGCGGCGUGGUCACGCCCGAGCUCAGGGGCCCCGCUCACCCGGAGGUGGAUGGUGUCGGGGUGUAGACCCGGACCUUGCCCUCACCAUCCUGGCCCUGGCUCCUGCAGGCCACGCUGACCACCAGGUGCUGGAGGGUCCAGAGCUUGCCCAGGGUCAGCUCCUGGGAGCGGCGGAGACCACGACCCCGGGGCUGGCCAGGCGCAGGUCGCCUGGGAGGGCAGAGGGAGAACGGGCCAGGAGGGGCAGGAGCGGCUCUCAGAGGCCCGCGGCCUCCUCGUGGCCACAUGGCCCCAUCUCAACACCCGCGAUGACUGGGAUGGAACUCUCCAGGACAGCGUGACGCUGUGAUCUCGACAGGGACUUGGAUGGCGUGAGCCUCUGCGCCUGUCCGACUCUCAACGUACCCGGGGACCGCGCAUUUCCCCUGGUGACCGCGACGCAUGCUUCAGUGUCCAGGAGAGAUGUCCCCACGCCUGGACCUUCCCGCAAGGAGGACCGACAGGCGGACAGAUGUGCCAUCGGGCAGGAGCGUAACGCGGCCACGGCAGAGGCCAGGGCCAGGGCUCACCACACGAUUCCUUCAGCUUCUCUGUUUGAGACUUUUCCAGAAUAAAAUGUGGGGGAAAGAGAGGGUGGGAGCUGGGAUCCCCGGAGGCCACGUGUCCCCCGUGCAGGGCAGGGCAGCUGGGCAUACGGAGCCCGGCCACGGAGCCAGCCAUGAGGAGGGCGGAGAGCCCCGACUGCCGGGCAGCAGGACAAAGGACACUCUCAUCAGGAAGUGGAAGUCCCACCGCGGCCACCAUCACCGACACGCUGCCCCUGGACAGCACCGUCAGCCCCUGCAGACUGACCGGCUCGUCAGAGCCAGCUCCUGCCCGACAAACCCUCAGGAGCUAACCCAGUAAGUGCCGCUCAGAACAGUGGACCUGGGCAGUGCAGCCCGAGGCACAGCUGCCACCUCCGUGGAACUUGUGGUCGUGGGGGGACGGGGGGGACAGGGGGAUCUUGAAUCAAUAAAUAUAGACGCG
rnacentral:lncRNA from 1 species